GCAGGACCCGAGGAAUGGAGACACACCUGCCAGCAGAAACGGCAACAGAAAAGAAAUUCAAAGCAGAGCAGACCAAGCAUAAAGGACUAAAUCAGUGCAAGGCAUUGGAGAUCUCUUGCUCAACACCGUCACCUGCUAUACUCACAAAGAUAGAAGAGGUCAUUCACCAAUGAUGAACAAAAAACCUAUAUGGCUUGGAAAAAAUAAACCCGAACAGAAAGGAGAAUCACCUCCUGAUGAUGGCAGAGGAUCCUGUGCUCAGAGGCAGCGAGACUCAGCAAGGUAAGUUCCUUCCGCAGGGGACAACGCUGCAAGACUGUAACAACAACUGAAAAACAACACAACAGCAUUGCAGCUACUGACCCCAUCAGAAAUGCACUUCUGUAUCACACCAGAAAAAAAAAGGGGUGGGGGGAAUACUACUGCAUAUGAGUUUUUUCUGUACCAAAAAUAGAAGUUUAAAUUCAGAACUUAAGUCCCUUCAUCUAUAUGUGAUCUAUACAAUACCUGCCUGUAUUCUCAAGACCCACAGGUAUCUCCAUGAUGACAAGACAAGCCCCACAACAGACUUCUGCUUGCUUUUUUU